UACGUAGGGGGCGAGCGUUGUCCGGAAUUACUGGGCGUAAAGGGAGCGUAGGCGGUCGAUUAAGUUAGAUGUGAAACCCCCGGGCUUAACUUGGGGACUGCAUCUACUACUGGUUGACUUAGAGUACAGGAGAGGGAAGCGGAAUUCCUAGUGUAGCGGUGAAAUGCGUAGAUAUUAGGAGGAACACCAGUGGCGAAGGCGGCUUUCUGGACUGACACUGACGCUGAGGCUCGAAAGCGUGGGGAGCAAACAGGAUUAGAUACCCUGGUAGUCCACGCUGUAAACGAUGAAUACUAGGUGUAGGGGGUAUCAACUCCCUCUGUGCCGCAGCAAACGCAAUAAGUAUUCCGCCUGGGGAGUACGGCCGCAAGGUUGAA
rnacentral:rRNA from 1 species